GACGAACGCUGGCGGCGUGCUUAACACAUGCAAGUCGAACGGAAAGGCCUCUUUCGGGGGGUACUCGAGUGGCGAACGGGUGAGUAACACGUGAGUAACCUGCCCUUGACUUUGGGAUAACUUCAGGAAACUGGGGCUAAUACCGGAUAGGAGCUCCUGCUGCAUGGUGGGGGUUGGAAAGUUUCGGCGGCUGGGGAUGGACUCGCGGCUUAUCAGCUUGUUGGUGGGGUAGUGGCUUACCAAGGCUUUGACGGGUAGCCGGCCUGGGAGGGUGACCGGCCACAUUGGGACUGAGAUACGGCCCAGACUCCUACGGGAGGCAGCAGUGGGGAAUAUUGCACAAUGGGUGGAAGCCUGAUGCAGCAACGCCGUGUGCGGGAUGACGGCCUUCGGGUUGUAAACCGCUUUCGCUCAUGACGAAGCUUUGUGUGACGGUAGUGGGUAAAGAAGCACCGGCUAACUACGUG
rnacentral:rRNA from 1 species